rnacentral:tRNA from 1 species
GCGUCGGUGGCUCAGGGGUCAAGCACUUGACUUGCAAUCAGUAGGUCCUGGGUUCGAAUCCCGCCAUAUGCC